AUAUUUACCUGGACGUGGUUGGUGGGUGAUCAGGAAGGCCCAUGGCCUAAGUUAGUGACUUCCAUUGCACUUGGGAGGUGCACUAGCUUAGCAUCUCCUCCAGUAGGAGACUGCACGUCAUAAUUUGUGAUCGAGGGGGUACGCGUUUGCGCGGCCCCUG